UUGGCUUCGUGUCCUUGUGACCAUGAAGACGAAGCAAAGAUGCAGCAGCGCCACCCAGUGGCCAACUCAUCCCACGGCUCCUGGGAAAUAAACAGGAUCCAAACAUUCACCGCCUCCCUCCCGGCCGCGAGUUGCACACUCACGCGCGAAAGAACGGAGAACUCAACUUCUCAACUUCCGCAGCAUUGAAUCUAUCAUAGAAGGUGAGAGAAUCCCAAGCAGACUCCCCGCUGAGCAUGGAGCCCACAUGGAGCCUGAUCUCAGGACCCUGAGAUCAUGAUCCCGAGAUCGCGACCUGAGCCAAAAUCAACUGACUGAGGCACCCAGGCGCCCUGAAAGAGAGAGAGAGAAUCUUAAGCAGGCUCCAUGCCCAACACCGACCCUGAGGGGCUCAGUCUCACAACCCUGAGAUCAUGACCUGAGCAGAAAUCAAGAGUUGGAUGCUUAACUGACCCAGCCACCCAGGUGCCCCAAAGAGUAAUCAUGUUUUAAAAAUGGAAUCAAUUGAUAUUAAAGAUUUAGCAAUAAACUUUCUGAGCUUGUAAAAGAUUUAACUUGAUGUAAAAUGAAUACUUGAUCAUUUUCCUAGUGUAUAAAUUCUGAUUUCUGACAGUUGAAUUUCCUA